AAUUGGCUUCGCAAGUCUCAUCUUUCCAUUGUGAGAGCUCUGUAGCCCCUCUUUCUAGUGCUGAAUCAUCAGGUAACUUAUCUCACUGAAAUGGAAAAACACGAACCCCCUCUGACGCUUUUGCCAGAGUGGAACCUCUUGCCUAAGGGAACAGUCCUACCUGGAGAUGCUGGGAGUUCAGGCUGGGCCCAAGAACAGCCACACAACAUGUCAUCCUUAUGCCUUUUUUCAUUCCAUUCCAGAAACAAAGAAAAUCAAGGCUAACUCUUCAACAGGAAGGUCCAGAAACACCAGCAACAACCCGAGAAAGAACAGCAGUCUGCGCAGACCAUGGCUGUGCUCCCAGGAGCUACUUUAGGUGGACCCAAAACCCAGCAGAAUUUUUGACAUUCUCCCUCUUUUGAGAAGUGGAUUCCCAUAUCAUAGCAGAAACUGCUUAUGAAAAUCUCCAGUAAAGGAGUGGUGUGCAGCAUGCAGUGAGGCUGUUUGAGAAAGAACUUGUCACAAUAAAGAACGUGUGGAAGUUGUCGCAAAGUAGA